rnacentral:rRNA from 1 species
AGAGUUUGAUCCUGGCUCAGAACGAACGCUGGCGGCGUGCUUAAUACAUGCAAGUCGAACGAGAAAGUCUGACUUCGGUUGGGCGAGUAAAGUGGCGAACGGGUGAGGAACACGUGGAUAAUCUGCCCUUAAAUCUGGGAUAAUCCUUCGAAAGGAGGCCUAAUACCGGAUGACACCGCGCGAUGGCAUCAUUGUGCGUUCAAAGGCGGGGCAACCUGCCGUUUAGGGAUGAGUCCGCGUUCCAUUAGCUAGUUGGUGGGGUAAAAGCUCACCAAGGCUACGAUGGAUAGCCGGCCUGAGAGGGUGACCGGCCACACUGGGACUGAGAUACGGCCCAGACUCCUACGGGAGGCAGCAGUAGGGAAUAUUGCGCAAUGGACGAAAGUCUGACGCAGCAACGCCGCGUGGGUGAUGAAGCAUUUCGGUGUGUAAAACCCUGUCAGUGGGAAAGAAACGUACGGGUAGUAACUGACUCGUGCCUGACGGUACCCACAGAGGAAGUCCCGGCUAACUCCGUGCCAGCAGCCGCGGUAAUACGGGGGGGACAAGCGUUGUUCGGAUUUACUGGGCGUAAAGGGCGCGUAGGCGGACCGUCAAGUCGGAUGUGAAAACUGGCAGCUUAACUGCCAGCCUGCAUUUGAUACUGUCGGCCUUGAGUACAGGAGAGGAGAGUGGAAUUCCAGGUGUAGCGGUGAAAUGCGUAGAUUCUGGAAGAACACCAGUAGCGACGGCUCUCUGGACUGAUACUGACGCUCAAGCGCGAAGGCUUGGGGAGCAAACAGGAUAGAUACCCUGGUAGUC